UAGCCCAGGUAUUUUAAGUAGAUUUAAUUAAGGGCUAAUUAUUUAUAUUAAAUUAAUUUACGAUGUUUUGGUAUAAGUUGACCGGAUUUUCUUCAAGAAAUUUAGUGUUUUAAGACAAAAGGAAAAUUAUGUUCUAUAAUGUAUUUGCUUAUAUGGUUUAAGAAUUAGUAUUUUUAGUUUAGAAAAAAAAAUGUAUUCUCCCUCAAUGUAGUUGAGGUGUCAAAAUAUAUUAACAUUUCAUGCUUUUAUCUCUCCUCUUCUCUGUCAUCAUGUCCAAACAAAAUGAGGACAACAAAACCCAAAUACUUGAGUUGUCAAAUUUCCAAUACUUAAUCUGAUGAGUUUAUAACUAGCAAAUCCAUCUUAAACUUCUUCUUAUUCAACACUAGAAAAUCAAAGAAACCCCAAUUCUCAGUUUUCAUUCUCGCAUCCUCUCAUUCACCGACAUCCCUCUCAAUCCUCUGUUCUGUCCGUCAAAUUCAAGCAGCAUACGCUCAUUUUUUGGUCUUUGUUCCUUUAUCAAAGUUGUAGAUCUCUUCGAGUUAUUGAAUUUAGGCUCAAAAAUUUCUUCAAUCGGAGUUCGGAGCUAGGAGUUAUGAUCUCUGGAAAUUGUAGUUGUUGCUGCCACUGUUGCAGCGUUUUUUCUCUCUCCUCUUCUUCGUGGAUGCUGCUGCCACGAGUGUGGUUGUUUCCGAGCCUUCGUGCUACUGCAUGUCGGUGAUGGCGUUGCAUAUGCCGGUAAUUGUCUGAUUUCAUUUGCCGUCAAUUUUAAUAUAGUUCUGAAAUUGAGUUCUUGAUUUUUAUUCUUUUGAUAUAUAAGAGAAGCAAAUGUAAAUUAUGUUCACUUAAGAUUGGAAGCUAUACCAUCCUUUGUUUUUAUCUCUUCUAAUUGUGAACAAGUUUAAGUAUGUUGAGUUUAUAAUUUAUUCUCGUUAGUUUAAGACUUUGAAAACAACAAUUUGAAUAUCAGUUGGUAAAUUAGUUUUGUCAAAUAUAUUUAAUUCUUAAUCUUGUUAUGAAAAUCAGAUAAGAUAAAAGUUUGUUCAACUUAAAGAUUAAAUUUUUCCUAUUUAUUUAAUGGGUUGGAUUGAGGUUUAUGAUUUGUAUUUAUAUUUCUUAAGUUAGUUUAUGAAAUCAAAUUUCAAUAAGCCAUGUUGUUUGAUAGUAUCCUCUGUGAAGUAGGAUGAGGUUAAUUGGAGUUAGAGAUUGAUAUAGUGAAGUGGAUUAGUAGAAUGGUUUGUAAAUAAGGAGUUGUGGGUAGUUCAUGAAAGAGGUUAGAAGGUAUGAGAAAGUUAUUUUCUUUAUCUAAUUGAUAGUAAGGAUGUUAAUUGUUGUUCAUAUUGUUGUGAGGUGAUUGUUGGAGAUUGAUAAAGAAUUUGGAAAUGUUGGACUCUUGAAGAUUAUUAUGGAAUUGAGCGUUCUUUGGGAGGAUGAAAAAGAGUUCAUUGUUAGUGAUCUUGCAGGUUCGUAUAUGGAAAGCUUGGAAUAGAGUAAAAGGAAGAAUUUAGGUAUCAAGGUUAUAAUUAGAUGUAAUGGUUCAGAGGUUGUAUUUAGGAUUAUUUAUCCUUAUUUGUGAAUAAAUUAUUAUAUUGCUUUGGAAGUCAAGCAAAGUAUUAUGUAAUAUGUUAUUUGGUUCUUGA